rnacentral:rRNA from 1 species
AGAGUUUGAUCCUGGCUCAGGACGAACGCUGGCGGCGUGCCUAACACAUGCAAGUCGAGCGAUGAAGCCCUUCGGGGUGAAUUAGCGGCGGACGGGUGAGUAACACGUGGGUAACCUGCCUCAAAGAGGGGGAUAGCCUCCCGAAAGGGAGAUUAAUACCGCAUAACAUUAGUUUUUCGCAUGAAGAACUAAUUAAAGGAGUAAUCCGCUUUGAGAUGGACCCGCGGCGCAUUAGCUAGUUGGUGAGGUAAAGGCCCACCAAGGCGACGAUGCGUAGCCGACCUGAGAGGGUGAUCGGCCACAUUGGAACUGAGACACGGUCCAGACUCCUACGGGAGGCAGCAGUGGGGAAUAUUGCACAAUGGGCGAAAGCCUGAUGCAGCAACGCCGCGUGAGUGAUGAAGGCCUUCGGGUUGUAAAGCUCUGUCUUUUGGGACGAUAAUGACGGUACCAAAGGAGGAAGCCACGGCUAACUACGUGCCAGCAGCCGCGGUAAUACGUAGGUGGCGAGCGUUGUCCGGAUUUACUGGGCGUAAAGGAUGCGUAGGCGGAUAUUUAAGUGAGAUGUGAAAUACCCGAGCUUAACUUGGGUGCUGCAUUUCAAACUGGAUAUCUAGAGUGCGGGAGAGGAGAAUGGAAUUCCUAGUGUAGCGGUGAAAUGCGUAGAGAUUAGGAAGAACACCAGUGGCGAAGGCGAUUCUCUGGACCGUAACUGACGCUGAGGCAUGAAAGCGUGGGUAGCAAACAGGAUUAGAUACCCUGGUAGUCCACGCCGUAAACGAUGAGUACUAGGUGUAGGA